UACCAGCACCCCGAGUGGUCGGGACGAUUAUUGGGCCUAAAGCAUCCGUAGCCGGUUUUACAAGUCCUCCGUUAAAUCCAGCUGCUUAACAGAUGGGCUGCGGAGGAUACUAUAAGACUAGGAGGCAGGAGAGGCAAGCGGUACUCAGUGGGUAGGGGUAAAAUCCGUUGAUCCAUUGAAGACCACCAGCGGCGAAGGCGGCUUGCCAGAAUGCGCUCGACGGUGAGGGAUGAAAGCUGGGGGAGCAAACCGG
rnacentral:rRNA from 1 species